UGAAAUUAUUACUAGUACCUGCAUGCUCUGUUGCUUCCACUAGUAGGAGUUGAGGCAUUUUACUGCGCACCCACCAUCCACCCGCCUGCUAGCACUAGCAGAGUCAGUACAAGAAUAGUAGGAGGAGUGAGAGUGACCGGUGGUGUCACGUCUGACGCGACGUUUUGACCUAUUGUCCCUUUUUUUAUUUCUUUCUUUUUUGUGUACGUAUAAAAACCAAGCAGGUAGUAACAUAUGUUUCCGUCACGUAGAUAAAAAAAACGAGUCGACAGGUGUCAACAUGCAGGUGGAUGGACCGGCUGCGACUAACCCUAAAUUUAACCGCGAGACUGACUCCUCCUCCUUUUCUUUGCUGAGAUGAGAUGAGAAAAAUAUCAGAUCUGGAGGCUCCUCUUCUCUCGUCCCCUACCCGUGGGUGAGAACCCUAACCAUCCACGCCGUCCGGCCGGCUGGCCGGCCGGAUCCUUGGUCAGCCGCCGGCACCGGCCGCCGUACGUCCUUGUCCCGCUCCCUUCCUCUGCUGUCAACGUACGCGCCGGCCCUUUCUUCCCCAAGAAAGCAUCCAUCAAUCCAUCUAUCCUCGCAACUUUGCCAUCUCUUUCUCCGGCCGGCCUCGCCUCGCCUCGCCUCGUUGAUUAUCAAACUUGUAUGUUAUGUUUGAAUCGAUCGUUUCAAGGCUCGCAGGAAAUCCAUCCUCUCAUCUCUGCCCCGCCAUGGAGGCGUUUGGCUGAUCUGCCGGACGCCAACAGCUGUUCAGAUCCGCUGGCCACCAACAGCCGGUAUUCUUGCCGGCCGGCCGGCGAGAGUCUCCUGUCCGGUGCACCGCCUCGAUCUAGCAGGCAGGCAUCUCUGCUGCACUAGGUUUAUGGAUCCGGUACCUGCCCUGCUCGAUCUCUUUCUUGCAUGUCAAGACUGUGGACGGACAAGACUGCCUGGCGAUGAAAGAAGGAUGAGACAUCACCUCGCUCGCGGUAGCACUACGCACAUCACAUGUGGUGGGGGUAAUAUCAUACUUCUACUAGUACAAUAUAUAUAAGCAGAGAUGAGGUGAAAGGGAGCAGAGCAGAGGUCUCUGCUCUGGAUCUACAUGCAUCUCCAAUUCUCCAUAGAUGCAUGCGUUUCAUAUGCCACUGCCGGGGAAGAUCCAAUGUGAGGACUGGACUCUGGAAUGACUAUCAAUCGGAGCAUGAGUUAUAUGCCUCAACCAGACACAUCCACCCAUGAUUAUAUUCAAUCCCUAGUAAUGAGAAACCAUCGACCCCUCGUAUAUAUGGAGUGGAACGGCCGGUGGAGAGUGGACUGUGACUCUCUGAGCACGAGUUAUAUACCGUGGCCUCCACCUGUCCCAAACGGUGCCUCUCAUGUUUGGAUGUUUGGAUUCAAGAUUGGUAAUGAUAAGAGACAUCCAUCCAUGAUUACAUUUCUAUCUGCACUUGCUUGCAACAAGGGCUUCAAUCCCUAUACAGGAGGGUUAAUCCAUCCUCUCAUCUCCUAUGGACCGUGAACUACACCCACAGAGGUGCAACAAUUAUCCCUAGCCUUACAUGUACGUGGUUGAUCCGUCAACUACACCCACAAAGUUGUUAUGUCACAAAUUCAUAUAUAAAGUUCUUGUAAUCAUUUAUAUUGGGCCAAGAUAAGGUGCAUCGAUCCCAUGUACAAAUGUGCCCUUUCUGCAACGCCGGCAGGGAUCCAAAUCGAGGAGUGCACUCUAAGCACGAGUUAUAUGUACCCCAGGACUCUACCUGCCCGAAACGUUGUCUCUCAUGUCUGGAUUCAAUCCAUCGUAUGAGACAACAAGUUGCGUGUAGAGACAUCUGUCAAUGGUGUUACGUUCUCAUCUAUAGCUGCUUGCAAUGAGGCCUUCAAUCAAUCCCUAGGAACUAAAAUAGAAAAAAGGAAUAUGCAUCUUGGAGCUUCAAUGGCUUCGUCAUUUUCUGCCGUACGCUACACCUAUGCCGCUUCCUCCACCAGGUUGUUUGCCUGUGGACCAUCUUCCUAGUGAUGGGUACUACAUAUUUUGGCUCUCGGCGGUGACGCAGAGAAGAGGGCUUUAGCAUGAUGGGAAUAUGCAUCUUGGAGCUUCAUUGGCUUCGUCAUUGUCUGUCGUACGCUACACCUAUGCCGCUUCCUCCACCAGGUUGUUUGCCUGUGGACCAUCUUCGUAGUGAUGGGUACUACAUAUUUUGGCUCUCGGCGAUGACGCAGAGAAGAGGGCUUUAGCAUGAUGGGUGAAAAAUACUCCCUUUGUCCCAUAAUAUAAGAAUAUUUUUGACACUACACUAGUGUCAAAAACGUUCUUAUAUUAUGGAAAGGAGGGAGUACUUUGAAAUACCCGCCAAGAAACCCACUGCAUGAUGGGGAAAUACAAGUGAAACUCCUUGGCCCAGUGGAGUGCAGCAGCCCAAAAAAGGCCCGGUUGAGUGCUGCAGCCCACAAAGGCCCAGCCGAGUCACCUGCCCUCCUCCUCGAGAGAACAACAGCAAAGCAAACCCUCCCCUCUCCUUCCCGUGCUCUCACUCCCCAGCCCCCAACCCUAGCCGCGCCCGCCGCCGCCGCCCCCGCCGCUCCCGUCAAUCCAAAACCCGGCCACGAAUCAUGGACCACCAGCAACUCCCUGCCCCCCUGCCGGCGCCGGCGGUGAGGGUGAUUGGCAUCGACGACUUCUUUAAGGCCUUCGACCUUGUGAAAAUCACUGGGCUCCCCAUCCCCGAUGACGCCCCUGAAGUGGAGGGGACAACAUGGGAUUUUACCAAAGCAGACUCCACGGGCAACGACCACUGGGACUGGAUCAAGCGGCAGUGUUACAAUAAGUCAAAUGAGCUCAGUAACAACAGAAGAGAUAUUCUACCACUGCUGAAGAACAAGAGAGCACACCGUAGGGAGAUUGCAAGGCUGGGGAGUCAACUUAAAGAUCUUGAGCAGGGGCUCAGAGCAAAAAUUCUUGAUUUUGAUCAAUUUGUUUUGGGUGGGUUUACUUUCCCAAGUCAUUUUGAUCAUUUCCCUGCCCUCAAGGAGAAGGGGAAGAAGAAAAAGUAAAUGACAGUGGCGCUGUUAGUGUUCGAAACAAACAUUACUGCCUUGUUGCAUUCGUGUGUUGGAUGAAACGUAGUGCCUAUGUGAUAUCAGUGGGAGUGGCAAUGCCAUGUAUCUACAUUAUUAUCAAGUACUACUGCUAUAUAUAUGCUGUACCAGACUUGUCUGCCAUAUUUGAUUGUCUCUGA